rnacentral:rRNA from 1 species
AUACGUAGGGAGCGAGCGUUGUCCGGAAUUACUGGGUGUAAAGGGAGCGUAGGCGGGAGUGCAAGUCAGAUGUGAAAUGCAUGGGCUUAACCCAUGAGCUGCAUUUGAAACUGCAUUUCUUGAGUGAAGUAGAGGUAAGCGGAAUUCCUGGUGUAGCGGUGAAAUGCGUAGAUAUUAGGAGGAACACCAGUGGCGAAGGCGGCUUGCUGGACGACAACUGACGCUGAGGCGCGAAAGCGUGGGGAGCAAACAGGAUUAGAUACCCUGGUAGUCCACGCCCUAAACGAUGAAUACUAGGUGUGGGGGGACUGACCCCUUCCGUGCCGGAGUAAACACAAUAAGUAUUCCACCUGGGGAGUACGACCGCAAGGUUGAAACUCAAAUGAAUUGGCGGGG